rnacentral:rRNA from 1 species
AUUGAACGCUGGCGGCAUGCCUUACACAUGCAAGUCGAACGGCAGCACGGGAGCAAUCCUGGUGGCGAGUGGCGAACGGGUGAGUAAUAAAUCGGAACGUGCCCAGUAGUGGGGGAUAGCCCGGCGAAAGCCGGAUUAAUACCGCAUACGACCUACGGGUGAAAGCGGGGGACCGCAAGGCCUCGCGCGAAUGGAGCGGGCGAUGUCAGAUUAGCUGGUUGGUGGGGUAAAGGCCUACCAAGGCGACGAUCUGGAGCUGGUCUGAGAGGACGACCAGCCACACUGGGACUGAGACACGGCCCAGACUCCUACGGGAGGCAGCAGUGGGGAAUUUUGGACAAUGGGCGCAAGCCUGAUCCAGCCAUGCCGCGUGCGGGAAGAAGGCCUUCGGGUUGUAAACCGCUUUUGUCAGGGAAGAAAAGUUCUGGGUUAAUACCUCGGAGCGAUGACGGUACCUGAAGAAUAAGCACCGGCUAACUACGUGCCAGCCGCCGCGGUAA